AACGAACGCUGGCGGCAGGCUUAACACAUGCAAGUCGAACGCCCCGCAAGGGGAGUGGCAGACGGGUGAGUAACGCGUGGGAACAUACCCUUUCCUGCGGAAUAGCUCCGGGAAACUGGAAUUAAUACCGCAUACGCCCUACGGGGGAAAGAUUUAUCGGGGAAGGAUUGGCCCGCGUUGGAUUAGCUAGUUGGUGGGGUAAAGGCCUACCAAGGCGACGAUCCAUAGCUGGUCUGAGAGGAUGAUCAGCCACAUUGGGACUGAGACACGGCCCAAACUCCUACGGGAGGCAGCAGUGGUGAAUAUUGGACAAUGGGCGCAAGCCUGAUCCAGCCAUGCCGCGUGAGUGAUGAAGGCCUUAGGGUUGUAAAGCUCUUUCACCGAUGAAGAUAAUGACGGUAGUCGGAGAAGAAGCCCCGGCUAACUUCG
rnacentral:rRNA from 1 species